rnacentral:rRNA from 1 species
GAUGAACGCUGGCGGCGUGCCUAAUACAUGCAAGUCGAGCGAAUGGAUUAAGAGCUUGCUCUUAUGAAGUUAGCGGCGGACGGGUGAGUAACACGUGGGUAACCUGCCCAUAAGACUGGGAUAACUCCGGGAAACCGGGGCUAAUACCGGAUAACAUUUUGAACCGCAUGGUUCGAAAUUGAAAGGCGGCUUCGGCUGUCACUUAUGGAUGGACCCGCGUCGCAUUAGCUAGUUGGUGAGGUAACGGCUCACCAAGGCAACGAUGCGUAGCCGACCUGAGAGGGUGAUCGGCCACACUGGGACUGAGACACGGCCCAGCCUCCUACGGGAGGCAGCAGUAGGGAAUCUUCCGCAAUGGACGAGAGUCUGACGGAGCAACGCCGCGUGAGUGAUGAAGGCUUUCGGGUCGUAAAACUCUGUUGCUAGGGAAGAACAAGUGCUAGUUGAAUAAGCUGGCACCUUGACGGUACCUAACCAGAAAGCCACGGCUAACUACGUGCCAGCCGCCGCCGUAA